GCGGCUCCCGGCGGCCCGCGAGUCUCCUGCUGUCGUACGCGGCGGACGUCUGAGGUGCGGGGCGCGGCUCGAGGAUGGAGCCGCUGAAGGUGGAAAAGUUCACGACCGCCGACAAGGGGAACGGGUUGCGUGCCGUGGCCCCGCUGCGCGCCGGAGAGCUGCUGUUCCGCUCGGAUCCCUUGGCGUACACGGUGUGCAAGGGGAGUCGUGGCGUCGUGUGCGACCGCUGCCUGCUCGGAACCCUCAGGAAGGAGCAGAUCGAGUGAGAUAAUUACAGCGAACGAGAAGGCCUGAACUAGAGGCGCAGAUGCUGUGCUUUGGGAGCACGAGUUACUGAGGUUCCGCAGCUUGCUGUGCCAUUAAUAGCUGUGAAGCAUGUCACAAUGGCACCAUGGACACUGGACCCUGGUGCUGCUGCUCUUUGGAAAACUGGUUGUUGCUGGAAAGUUGUUCUCUCAACCAUCCUUCUUCCUGAUAUUACCUUCUGAUUCAAAGUCCUCAGUGGGUGUCUUGGAUUGGCUGAGCUUAGGUCACUGCUUGCACCCCAGCUGCAAGGAAAGUUGAGAAGGAGCUUUGGGAAAAGAACAUUUGGUCCAUGUGAAAGCCACAGGAGAGGAUGUUCUUAAUCAGACAGGAUGACCUGCUUUGUGGAUGGCAGUCAGUUCUCCUUCUCCAGACAGCCUGGUGCUUGUUCAGCACGCUCAAGAACUACCAUGGGGACAGGGAGAGAGGAUGGUGCCUGGAACUCAACAGUACAGACAUCCAUUGCCAUAGCCCUGUGGCUUCUACUGGUAUAGAGUGUCCAGUAUGCUACCUGUAGUAACUGAUUCUGAGUUCCCCAAAUGAGGACACACCUUCUGGACCAGCCGGCCACCUGCUGUCAGGUUUUAAUUUUAGAUCCUUUUGUCAUGGAGGGGGUCAGUGAUUUGUUCUCACUGGAAUACUGUUUUUUUUCUGCACUUGGAUUUGUCUUCUCUGCCUGUACUACCAUCUCUGAGAUGUGCUAAAAAUCUUCUGUAGAGCUGUGGUAUUCCUCAUAAGGUUGCCUCUGACCAGCACAAAAAGAAUUGAAGCUAAUGCCUGUGGUUUUGUCUGUUCUUAACAUACACUGUCAUUUAAGGCAGCCCCUUUACACUCCUAAAAAUUAUUGAAAUGGAUUUAAUAGGAGGGAUUUAAGAAAUGUAAUUGAGGAUGUUAAAGAGGUUUUGUUUAUGUGGGUUAUAUCUAUUGAUAUUUACUGCAUAAAAAAUUAAAACUGAAAAGUUUUGAAAAUACAUA